UCCACCCGAGACUCAGUGAAAUUGAACUCGCUGUGAAGAUGCAGUGUACCCGCGGCAAGACGGAAAGACCCCGUGAACCUUUACUAUAGCUUGACACUGAACAUUGAGCCUUGAUGUGUAGGAUAGGUGGGAGGCUUUGAAGUGUGGACGCCAGUCUGCAUGGAGCCGACCUUGAAAUACCACCCUUUAAUGUUUGAUGUUCUAACGUUGACCCGUAAUCCGGGUUGCGGACAGUGUCUGGUGGGUAGUUUGACUGGGGCGGUCUCCUCCUAAAGAGUAACGGAGGAGCACGAAGGUUGGCUAAUCCUGGUCGGACAUCAGGAGGUUAGUGCAAUGGCAUAAGCCAGCUUGACUGCGAGCGUGACGGCGCGAGCAGGUGCGAAAGCAGGUCAUAGUGAUCCGGUGGUUCUGAAUGGAAGGGCCAUCGCUCAACGGAUAAAAGGUACUCCGGGGAUAACAGGCUGAUACCGCCCAAGAGUUCAUAUCGACGGCGGUGUUUGGCACCUCGAUGUCGGCUCAUCACAUCCUGGGGCUGAAGUAGGUCCCAAGGGUAUGGCUGUUCGCCAUUUAAAGUGGUACGCGAGCUGGGUUUAGAACGUCGUGAGACAGUUCGGUCCCUAUCUGCCGUGGGCGCUGGAGAACUGAGGGGGGCUGCUCCUAGUACGAGAGGACCGGAGUGGACGCAUCACUGGUGUUCGGGUUGUCAUGCCAAU
rnacentral:rRNA from 1 species